CGAAAGCCUGACGGAGCAACGCCGCGUGAGGGAUGAAGGCCUCUGGGCUGUAAACCUCUUUUAUCAAGGAAGAAGAUCUGACGGUACUUGAUGAAUAAGCCACGGCUAAUUCCGUGCCAGCAGCCGCGGUAAUACGGGAGUGGCAAGCGUUAUCCGGAAUUAUUGGGCGUAAAGCGUCCGCAGGCGGUUUUGUAAGUCUGUCGUUAAAGCGUGGAGCUUAACUCCAUUUAAGCGAUGGAAACUGCAAGACUAGAGUGUGGUAGGGGCAGAGGGAAUUCCCGGUGUAGCGGUGAAAUGCGUAGAUAUCGGGAAGAACACCAGUGGCGAAGGCGCUCUGCUGGGCCAUAACUGACGCUCAUGGACGAAAGCCAGGGGAGCG
rnacentral:rRNA from 1 species